CCAAUGUCAAAUUUGAUAGUUUGGAUGUGUCAUAAAGUUUGAAAAAAUUUCUUUUGAAAUUUGACCUUGGUCAAUAGAAUAAAUACAGCCACCCGAUUUUACAUCCAAUGGUCAGCAUUAAUUAUGACCACCUUGUACCAAAAGUCAAAAAUCUCAUUCUAUACUUUUCCUUAUCCUCUAUCUCAUCCUCAUAUAGAUCAAGAGUUAUCUAAAGUGCGCUAAAGAUAUUAAAGAGAUCAAAGUUGACACGGGUUUUCAGGUAUACCCUCUCUCUCUCUCUCUCUUAACAAUCCCUUAAAUUUAUAGGGAAAAGGUUUUGCAAGUCCACCUUCUCAUGCAUCUGUCCUGUUAUUACUUAAAAGUUCACAGCAUAAAAAAAAAACCUGAGAGUUCAUAUUUUGUGCGCUCGCAAUGAAAUGCCCAAGACACUCAAUGCCUAUUGUGGUCGAGAUGACCACAUGAAGUUUCCCAGCAUUGAUUUGUCUUCGUUCAUUUCUGUGUUACUUUUCUGGGUGUAUUCAUGUAUGGGGAGAGAGAGUGAGCGAGAGAGAGAGAGAGAGAGAGAGAGAGAGAGAGAGAGUAGUACUAAUAAUAUAAGUAACGUUACGUUUAGGAACGGUAAACCUAAAACCGUUACGUAAAGUAAAGUUUUGUUUAGUAUAGUAAGUUCGUUUUCGUACGAACNNNNNNNNNNNNNNNNNNNNACGUUACGACGUACGUAUAGUGACGAGUGAGACGUACGAGAGAGAGAGAGAGAGAGAGAGAGAGAAGAGAUAGAAGAGAGAGAGAGAGAGAGAGAGAGAGAGAGUUCUCAAAUAUAUAAGACCUUUUGAGGGUCAAAAACCUCGUUAGAAAUGUUUGUAUG
rnacentral:lncRNA from 1 species